UACAGAGGGUGCAAGCGUUAAUCGGAAUUACUGGGCGUAAAGCGUGCGUAGACGGUAAUGUAAGUCGGGUGUGAAAGCCCCGGGCUCAACCUGGGAAUUGCAUUCGAGACUGCAUUGCUAGGGUGCGGAAGAGGGAAGCGGAAUUUCCGGUGUAGCGGUGAAAUGCGUAGAUAUCGGAAGGAACAUCAGUGGCGAAGGCGGGUUGCUGGGCUGAUACUGACGCUGAGGCGCGAAAGCCAGGGGAGCGAACGGG
rnacentral:rRNA from 1 species